rnacentral:rRNA from 1 species
UAGGAAUAUUGCGCAAUGGGCGAAAGCCUGACGCAGCGACGCCGCGUGAGGGAUGAAGGCCUUCGGGUUGUAAACCUCUUUUAGUGGGGAAGAAAAAUGACGGUACCCACAGAAGAAGCACCGGCCAACUCUGUGCCAGCAGCCGCGGUGAUACAGAGGGUGCAAGCGUUAUUCGGAAUCAUUGGGCGUAAAGCGCGUGUAGGCGGUUAGAUAAGUCUGGUGUGAAAUCCCCGGUUUCAAGCUGGGAAGUGCAUUGGAUACUGUCAGACUAGAGUGCAGGAGAGGGGGACGGAAUUCCCGGUGUAGAGGUGAAAUUCGUAGAUAUCGGGAGGAACAACAGUGGCGAAGGCGGUUCCCUGGACUGUUACUGACGCUGAGACGCGAAAGCGUGGGGAGCAAAC